AAUAGUCAAGUUCUGCAUUUCCGGAGCAGUUGUCCAGCCGAAUCAAAUUACCAUCAGGUUCAGUCAACUAAGUUUCAAUAAAACAAAAAAGAUCCAAAAUAAUUUUUAUCUAGCAUUUGAUCUGAAUGCAUGAGAAACGAAACCUAGUGAGGCCCGAACUAAGAGGGGCAAACAAACUGUAAUUAGGAUCAUCUAUGCUAUUCCGGUUGCAGCCUCUCAUUUGUCACUCGAAUCAUUCAGUAGAGGGAGAGAGCGAGCCAAUGUAUCAAUGAAUAGACAGUCAAUGGUAGAUAGACAGCGCUGCCUACACGCGAAUUAGCUUAUGAAGUUGAGCAGUCUCAAUCUCACUACUGAAUUUAUGAAUGAAUGCUGGGCUAGGCCGCUAUCCUAGGUUGUUUGAUCAGCAUUAUGUUCUGCUGGCGCUCGCUCUAAUACACCCGUUUGCCAACAAAGAUACUAUGGCGAAACAGGAAACUAGGGCCACCAUGGAUAGUAGCAUUGGGAACCACAAGUUAGCUGCUUUUUAUAUCGUACGAAGAAAAGGCUUUUAGGACGGCAUAUUUAGUGUACUUAGUCUUUCACCUCUAGAAAGUUCAUCAAGCUAUUCAUCUACCCCUCUUACUUUUCCUCGUUAAAACAAUAACAUUUUUUACUACCAUAGUCUGGGACUUUUUCAGAGUCCUCUGACUAAAAUUGAUCUACUCAUUAAACACAAAAAAUCCUAUCAAAAUUGACCAAAAUUUGGUACAGGAAAUUGUCAAAAGUCCUAUAGCAUUAAGUAUUACGGAAACCCUUCCCCAAAUCCAUCCGAAAGCCUCUUUAAUCCUUGAUCCCUAAGCAUAUCCCAUCUUUAUUUUCAGUUAAGGGUUCACCAACCAAUUGAUAUCUUGAAUUGGAUAUAGAGCAAAUAUGAGAAGAUCAGGCCCUAACUUAUUCUUUUGGUCAUCAAAUUUAGACUCUUCUUCAGAAGUGCAAACCAUAUAGUUUAGAAAGUUAGGAAACAUACUACCAUAUAGCAUAGGAUGGAUAAGCUAUUUGAUGGUUUACACGUGGGGCUGAAAUCGAUCGGAUACGGAUCGAAUACUAGCAUAUCUAUAUCUAGAUUUAUUUUAUUUG
rnacentral:lncRNA from 1 species